CGGCGCUGAACUUGAGCCCCCAUCAUUUCUGCUCACACCCGCCCCUUGUAAAGAAACUUUACUAGAAUCUGCAGUACACUGUAGUUCCUUAGAAAGUUCUUCUCCAUCAUCAGUCGUGGGUUUAGCACGGCCUAUAUUGGCAUCCUCAAAGUUGUGAUUUCCAGUACUGAUAGUUUCGCCAAAGUUUCUAUGUGGUGCGUCAACAGAAACUGAACUGCUCGCUCCAUGAUCAGCAUCGUUGUUUCCAUCUUGAGCAUUCAAGAUUCUACUCCUAACAAGAUAUAAACAGAAUAGUUAACGGUGUUAAUUAAAUAAUGAAAAUGUAUUAAUUUGUAACAGUAACAAAACAUUUUGUAUGAUAUAUGUUAACUUGAAACUUUUUGUAUCAAUUUGAAACACUAAUAAAAUAUUUUGUAUGUAUGGUGCAAUUUCCCCACUCAACGUCAAUCAAAAUCUCGUAUUUGUUUUUCUAUUUGUGUUAACCGGCAAAAAAAAUUCCAUCAAUUAAACUGUAAAAUUGUAAAAUCUCAGAUCACACGCGGAAUGGAGGGCCCACCGACGGGUGUCACGGUGCGGCCGGCGGAGCACGGAGGAGAUCCAGCUGCGGGAGCGGAGGAGAAGGAGUUUCCGUGCUCAAUUUGUAUACAGAUUAUGAAUGACCCUGCUGCGCUCAGUUUCUCACUCCCGCUCAACUUUUCCCCAAAUUAAUUUCCUCCUCAAUAAGGUUUCGUCGCUGGGUGAUUUUUUUAUGUUGCUUUUUCCUCAUAUGGAUUUUAUUUCGUAAUUUCUUAUGGAUCUCCAUUUUCGUAUCUGAUUUUUGAUCUCUAUUCGAUUUUUAUUAUUUAUUAGUAUUAAAUUUCGAGUUCGUUAAUUGUGAUGGUGAAGUUUCUGAUGAGCUCGGAAAGUAGAGAAUAUUAGAAGAAGAGGAGAGAUUAGAUUCGUAUCCCUCUUUAGUAAACACAGAUAGAUUUAUUGUCUAAAAUAAAGGAAACUGACAAGUUGAAUUAAUUCAGCAAGAUGUUUAAUUCAAAUUUUUUGUUGUGGAAAUGCUCAAGAUGAAUUAAUUAACACUGCCACUGCAAAUUGACUAGUGCCAUUAAUCCCAUAGGUUUUCUAUAAUGCUUUAGAUCCAAUAUAUAUCUAAUCUUGUGAGGGAGAAUGUAUAACUGGAGUAGUAUUUGAUAUGUAUGGAUGGUUAGAAAUGAUUUUCAUAUCUGAUUUGUAGACAUGUGCACUCACCUCUUGCAUAGUAGACUGUACUUUCAAAUUUUCAUUUCUUGUAGUUUAAAUUUCAACAGCUUAAAGGAGCAGUUGUUUGUGUUUUUGUAUUGUUCCCUUUCUCCUUGGUUUUGCAGCAUUUCUUUAUUACUACUUUACUGUGGUUUUAUGAUUUGUUUCCUACCUAGUUUGCAAUCUUUAAAUACUUCAAUUGACAGUGCAACUUAUUGUGAUCUCUUCAAAAUUAGCAUCUCCUGUAGUACAAUUUCGUCGGUCGUUGGAACAGAUAAUUGUGAUUUAGGCCCUGUGUCCAACUCUUACAGCAUAAGAGGAAUCCUCUUCUAUGAAGUUUCAGUUCAAGAAAGAUGAAGGGAAGGCUCAAGUUAAUAUCCCCCGUGAAGGAAGCUACCCCGGACGAACCAACUUCACAACAUCUGACCGAAUCUGGUUGGUAGUAAUGCGCUUAAGCGAGAGUCCAUGCACAGUGAGUUUGAGGUCAAUGGUGUUUGGAGUAAUACCAAAAUAUCGAAUGCUACACAUAUUACAUCUAACUCGGGCUAUUGCGAAAUCAUGAACAAGUUUGGAACCCGCAGACGUCGAGGAGAGUUCAAAAUCAACAGCAGAGGAGCGAUCUAAGUGUUGGCCCUCACACAGCAUACGAUUCUUAUGUACAAGCUCUCACAUGUACAAGUUGGCAUUACCCGUUGAGAAUUUGUCAUGUACGAGUUACGACACGUAUCGAUGUCAUGUCAUCUAACCGUUCCUGGGCUCAACCUGGUCCUGGCGAUGGGACUCUUCCUAACUCUUGGCUGUAACAAGUAAUUUUUUUCACCAAGUUAAUUCAGGGUGGGUGUUACGAUUGAACCUAAUCAUCUAUGAGAUGCGCUGGAUAUAUACUUACACUAAUACUUGUUGCAGAAGCAUGUGGAUCUUGUUCGGCCUUUUGAGCACCUGCUCUCCCGGGUCUACGUGACAAUCUGUGGUAUAACUCCUUCAUAUGAUUAUACGUGCUGCAGUAAAAACGCAACGCAUUAAACAAAACUACAGUAUCAAUCUGAUAUUCACAACUGAAUAUGAGAACAGCGCUUUCUUGAAUUCUGUCUUUUCUUGUAUCUAGUACUUCACUACUAUUUACUCCAAUUAAACUAAGUUUCACAUCA